AGCAAAUACACGCCAUGGCUGUGCUCCCCACCCCCCACCGUACACUAACAGGGCAGCAACCCUGAUUGUCUAACAAGCAGCAGAGCUGCCCAGCAGCGACCACAUUAGGAAGGAAUCGGAAACCAACGCUCCGCUGGCUGUCACCCCUUACCCACUUGCUGUCAGACCACAGCCUGAGGCAGCCAAACCCAUUUCCUUGGGGAUCCAGCGCAAACCAGAGAGUGUGGACAGGCCGAUGGAAGAAUGUUGGACCAGCUUUAAGAAUGGGCUGUUCUAAGUCAUGAAUAUUGUAGGAAGCAGCUCUAAGGACCACAGGGCUGGAGGGUGCACAGGAAGGGGCCAGUGCAUACAGGUGUCCAAACAGUGUCAUCCGGUGUCCUGACAUGGGGCCCCAAUGGACUGACCCAGGGUGGAAAGAAAGAGUGAGAAGAAAUCAGACGGAAGAAUUUAGGAGAUGUGGCAACAGAGUGGAUGUAGCAGAAGGGACACAGAGAGUGCCUAAAGAUGACUCUUUGGUCAGCAUGUGAUGAAAAGAAUGAAGACAUUGGGGAAGUGGGGAGCAGAAGCGGAUGUGGGCCCAGGAGGGAAACGAUUCCAGACAGCAGAGAUGGCAAAAAGAUGCAUGGAAGAGAGACACAGCAGGGUCAGGUUCUGGCCUCAGGAGCCAAGGGGGAAGUGCCUGAGAAGGAGACCCCCAAAUGAGGCCUGUGUCAAUGAGGUCUUUAGGGGACUGGUUUCCAUGUAUGCCAGGCCAUACUCCCUGGAUUCCCAGCAUUGAGAAGACCAAACACUUCUACACAUUUAUUACUGAAGCCCCCUGUAAGCUGAAGGUGGAGGAAGUAGCCAAUCUCCUAAGCCGUGUGUGGCUGAGGCAGUUGUCAGAGCGGUGACGAGGGAAAUGCUCAUUAUUCUUCUAUCCCUCACUUGGCCAAAUAAAGAACUUCUUAGAAUUCUUCCCCUGUGACAAAACGGGGCUGUAAUUCGGAAAGCCUCAGGCAAGUUUGCCAGGGCCGCGGUAACCAAGCACCACAGACUAGGUGGCUUCAAGACUGGACGGCUUCAACAGAAAGUUAUUUUUGCUCAAUUCUGGAAGCCGGAAGUCCAAAAUCAAGGUACUUGCAGGGUUAGUUUGAUCUGAGGGCUGCGAGGGAAGGACCUGUUGUAGACCUCUCUCCUAGGUUUGCAGGCCUUGGUCCUGAUGUUCACAGGGCAUCCUUCCUGUGCCUUCACAUCAUCUUCUCUCUGAAUGUAUCUCUGGGUCCAAAUUUCCCUAUUUUAAAAUAAGGAAAUCAGUCCUAUUGGGUUAGCUCCCCGCCCCUCACUUUAACUUGAUUACCUCUGUAAAGACCCUACCUCCAAAUAAGAUCACAUUCUGAGUACUGAGGGCUAGGACCUCAGUAUCUGAAUUCAGGGUGGGUGGAUGCACAAUUCAUUCCAUAACGUUAAGAAGGAAGGGAUAAGUGCCCAAGGAAUCACAUGCUCGCUCAGGGAGAGUUCCAAGCGUGCAGAGCUGGUGGUCAUAGCCUAGCCUCAGGCCUUUGGAAAUCCCCUAAAUCUGGUUUUCCCAGUUCUCAUAAUCUCAUUUCACCAAAAUACGGCAUCUCAAUACAUUCCAUGCAUUUCUGGUGACAAGCUCAUUCUGGUGCACGCUAAGCAAUGUGCUAACUACGUCUUAACUGGGUGGUUAGGGUGGUUUAACUGGUUUGGUUAACAUAGAUCUCUGAGGCAUUUCACCCAUUCCUUAAGCCUAAACAAAUCUCAUCCAGGUGUUUAAGACAUUGCAUAAUAUUAGACCAUUUGAAGCUUCAUCUCCUUGGGGCAAUGAUGAUGAUGGUGAUGAAAGUGGCUGGUGACUGUUCUCAGUUUCAUCGCCAUAACGCAACCCUAUGUUGUGUUCCUCCACACUGGUGUGAGGGACACUACUGAGUGAGGCAGAGUUUGCACUCAGGAUAGAGAAAUAUAGACUCAUGCACAGAUUCCAGCUGAGUCCCUCCGAUGUGCUAGGUACUAUGUCCAGCCCCCCAGGAUUCACCUGUAAGCAGGACAGUCUUUUGGAUGACAGAGGGAAUUCUCAUAUAUCCACAGGCAGAUGGAAUUUACAAGUGAAAAGACCUAGAAGCUCAGAGACAGGGGGACUGAACUUUUUGCUUUCAGUCAGAAUCUUUGCUUACGGUUGUGCAAAUGCUUGCAUUGGUGGGUAUCCAUGCCGUAUAACGUGCUACCUAUUUUUACAUUACCCUUGCACAUAAGCAUACUAUUGGGAGGGAAAAUGAAGAGGGUGGAGGUGGUAACAAACUCAAGCUAAGGAAAUGGGAUUUGGAUGGGUACAAAGUCCACAGAAUUAGCUUGAGGAAAAUGAACCAGGAUUCACACAGGAGUUUUCAAACAUCUCAAUAUCAGGACCCCUUUACCCUCUUAAAACUUACUUCAUGAGGACCUUAAAGAGCUUUUGUUUGUGUGACUUAGAUGUAUUAAUAUUUACUACAUUAGAAAUUAAAAGAAAUGGUUGUAA